UUAACGCAGUGGUUAUUGCUGGCCCUGGCCCUGGCGCUGCCCCCGGUGUCGGCCGAGCCGCGGCGGCUCCAGAUCGGGUGGCUCCUGCUGGCCCUGGCCCUGGCGCUGCCCCCGGUGUCGGCCGAGCCGCGGCGGCUCCAGAUCGGGUGGUUAUUGCUGGCCCUGGCCCUGGCGCUGCCCCCGGUGUCGGCCGAGCCGCGGCGGCUCCAGAUCGGGGUGAGGAAGCGGUGCCAAUUAACGCUAAUUAACGUGGCUCUUGCUGGCCCUGGCCCUGGCGCUGCCCCCGGUGUCGGCCGAGCCGCGGCGGCUCCAGAUCGGGGUGAGGAAGCGGCCGCAGCGCUGCCCCGAGAGAUCCCGGAGAGGAGACCUGCUCAGCCUCAUCUACACGGUACCGGGGAUACUGGGAUAGACUGGG
ensembl:lncRNA